UUGUUUCUAUUAUUGUCGUCAGCAGUAUUAAAAUGAAAGGAAAACAAAUUGCGUAAAACACAUAAAAUGCGUCCAUUUCUUGCUGUCUGCAGUAAAUUACUCAAUCCAACAGUAUUGAUACCUGGUCGAUGUAGAAGCAGAUUACCUGAAAAUGGCCACCUUAAAAACCCAGGUGUUAAUACAGAAAAGAGAUCAGAUCGUUGGGUGCCUGAAAGGUAUGAUCGGGGCAAAGCAAGAUUCAAUAAAAAAGAUGAGGUGAUGGGAGAAAUAGAACUGGCAACAAAUGCGGCCAUAGUAGUCCUAUCAACUGGUGCCAAGGGUCUUGGCAAAAGCAUCAUGCUGGAGGUAGACCAAGAAAGGUACCUGUUUAAUGCACCUGAUGGUCUUCUCAGAGCUUUGAACGAUUCAAAAGCUGGAAAACCACUGCCAACAACAGAAAAUAUUUUCUUCACCUCGAAAACUUUGGAUACUGUUGGGGGAUUGAUAGGAUUUAUGCUGGACAACACAAUGAAAAAUGAUAUCGACCUUACAAUUAAGCUCCAUGGGCCUCCAUUUGUGCACUCAAUUCUGCACAUCAUGGACUAUUUCUACAAGGACGAGGGGAGGCUAUCAAACAUAGAAUGGCGAGGCAUGCCACAUGACCGUUAUGAAGAUGACCAGCUGACCGUGGAAUACGUUGCUCUCUACGACAGGUCCUCAGACCCUAGUAUUGACCAAUUGAACGCCAGCUGUAUUGACCAAUCGGAAAGCAACGAAUUGUAUAGUGAUAAACAAUUGUCAACCCAACAAACACAUGUUUCAAGUGAUAUUGACUCAAAUGUGAAGAAUUCUACAAAUGAACAGAAAACACGUACAAGCGCAAAGAUAUUUAAGGGUACAGACUCGGUGUCCCCGUCAGAAAAAACUGAAUUAAAGAAGCAACUAACCAAAAACAGACAUGAGAUUAAAACUAAUAUUGAAGAUAUUGAUUCAUUAGUUAAAAGCACUGAUACACUUAGCAAUAGAAGGCAUAAUAUCGAUGAUGUUCUUAGCAAAAAUGAAACAGAUUCUCAUGAUAAAGAUUUAAGAUCUGACUCUCACAAACCUAAUGCACCUGUUGCAAAGAUAAAAACAUUUUGGGAAUCUAAAGGGUUUGAUUUAUUAGUUGAAACUGUUCCCUCAAUUUCUACCACAAACAGAAGUGAGUUUAAAACUAAGCUUAAAGAUAAUGAUUCAGCGGUUAAAAGGACAGAUACAGUUGGCUUUAGCAGGCUUAACAUCGACGAUAUUCUCAAUAUAAAUAAAACAGAUUCUUAUGAUACAGAUUUAAGAUCUGACUUGCAUAAAGCUGAUGCUCCUGUUGGAAAUAUCAACACUCGUCGUGAAUCUAUUGAGUUUGAUUCAUUAUUUGAAACUGUCCCCUCAAGUGAAAAAAGUGGAAAAGUGGUAAAGCGUAUUGAUACAGGUAGCACUGGCAGCCUUAACAUCGAUGACAUUCUUGAAAUAAAUGAAAUAGAUUCUUGUAAUCGAGAUUUAAGAACUGACUCGCAUAAACCUAAAGCUCCUGUUGUAAAUAUCAAAAAUCGUCAGGACUCGAUGAAUUUUGAUUCAUUAUUUGAAAGUGACCCCGCAAGUUCUGGCAGGGAUAAUAUUGGUGACAGGUCUGAACAUUUAUCGGAAGAUGACCUCGGGACUGUAGAAAAUAACACUGAAGACUAUAUACUUCAGCUGCAGAAUGCCAAGAAAAUGGCCAUGGCUUAUAUUGUAAAGCUUAAGCAUUCCAGAAACAAAGUUGAUGCUCAGAAAGUAUUUAACCUUGGAAAGAAAAGUGGUCCGUGGGUUGGAGAUUUAGUGAGAGGAAAAUCUGUCACAUUGUCUAAUGGAAGGGUGGUUACACCACAGGAAGUGUACUCAGACAGCUGCAUUGAAGUGCGGCCAAUUGUUGUUUUAGAGGUCCCCUCUGUCGGCCAUCUUGAAGACCUGCUGUCGUCGUCCAAGCUUGAAGCCCUCCAGAAGUCCCCGAGAUCACAGGGGCCAGAGGUUAUCGUGCACAUGACCCCUAGGGGCGUAAUGGAGCACCCUAAAUACAAGGAGUUCAUGGGCAGAUUCUCCUGCAAGCACCUAAUUUUGAACGAGGAUUCAGGAAUGGUAAAUCUAAGGGGAGCGCACGCAGCAAGUGCCGUCAACAAUGCGGUCCAUCCUGAGUUGUUUCCCCUGGCGCGUGGAUUCAUGGAUACGGAUCACUCUUUCGAUGGAUCUGAUGAGUCCGUGACAUACGGAGAGUUUUGUCUGAAGUAUGUGCUGCGGCCGGAACAUAGGCGUGGCUACGAUAGGAGGUUCGUGCCACAACUGGACCCUCAGAAUUGCAUUAGAUCAGAUCUCAAGAGAGCUGACUAUCUCGUACGCAGAAUGGAAGAAAAGUUUCAAACAAGAUAUAGGCCUCUCUUCGCAAAAAAAAGCUUUGCACAGGAGCUAAAAAAGUUCCACGACUUAUUAACAAGCGGAAAAUUAGACACUCCUAUAUUCACAGCAGCGUAUCCAAAAAUAACGUUCCUUGGUACCGGAACAUCCAAACCUAAUUUGAUAAGGAAUAAUUCGGGUAUUAUGCUUGAGAUCAGGAAAAAUGAGUAUAUGCUACUGGACCCCGGUGAGGGGACAUACAGACAGAUGCUGAUGAUGUUUGGUCACGAAGAAACAUUGAGAAUACUUGCCCAUCUGAAGGCUGUUUUUGUCUCGCACCUUCAUUUCGACCACCACGGCGGCAUAUUCACGCUUAUGAAGUGCCGCCGAGAGGCAGUCCAGAAGUCUGGGGGUGGGGAUAAGGUAUUUUUCCUCGCGCCUUACAAGCUGCUGAAGUGGCUCAAAGUAUUCGCCAGUCAGAUUAUGGACAUCUCCCCCGACAUCAUAUAUGUGCCACAUAUGAGUCAAACUACAUUUAAUCUGUGGCGGCAUGCUAACUACGACAAAUUGCACAAGGCACUGAAUUUGAAUAAGUUUUCAUUAUGGCUAACACAGCUUUGAUGCGGGUAGAAGCUGAAUUAUCAAGUGGAGAACAUGAUGAUAACAGGUCAGAACGGUCAGUACAAAGCGAUUCGAGUGCAAAGAAAGGGAAAUCUCGUACCCCUAGAGCCAGUCAGGCUGAUUUAUAGAAUUUACGCAGAAAUGUCAGUGAAAUGGACAAGCGGUUUUGUUCUCUUGACUCGAAACUGGACAAAAUGAUGUCAGUUGUGUUGGAUACUGCUUGUAUAGCAAGGCAGAUACCAAUUUACUCGAACACUGUUGCUGUGGUGUCCAGAGCUUAUACAGUGGUUCGCAUACCAACAAAUAGCAUUCAGUCAGAGAUUUUGGUGCAGGGAGAUGAUACUUUAUCUAUGCAACCUAGUAGACAGGAGAGAUAGGAAUUUCUGGGCGAUGACGAAAAUUCUAGCCAUACGUUGUUGAAAGGCAGUGAUGAUAGUGAUGAAUACAAAGCACGGUUUAGAAAGUACUCUAGCCAGACACAAAGUGUGUUGCGGGAUAUGCUUGGCGAAGACGCAAAAACAAAAUCAGAUAAAUGUAAAGAAGGCAUUUCUCUAGACAAAGCUCAGUGUGACGUCUUGAAAGAGUCGUGCCUAGCUGAAAAUACCCGUGUGUAUUUCGGCUUUCAAAGAUGCUUAACGCACUUCAUUCCCAGUGGCAAAGGAAAUGUUGAGUGUGCCUAGCCUAGAUACAAUUGUCAGCAGUCUGUUGCUUAAGAGAUUUGGUUCUAAAGCCACAGUGAAGUCACAACAUUUAGUGUCACAGCCAUUGUGUAAUAUUUAGAAGUUGGCAUUCCAAGGGCAGCAUGCAGCUAGGAUGGGUAUUAUUGUGAAUUUGUACAUGCAACAAGCCCUAGGAAAUUGUAGACCUUUUGCCCGAGGUUGAUAGGAGGGGAAAGCGUAGGUCAUUAUCCAUACAUGAACAUCCGUGAAAACGUGCACGGUUUUCAUAUGAAAGGAAUCAGACAUACUGUUUCUUCAACAUCUACGGUGGUUCUGUUAAGCAGCAGUACAAGCCGGCUACAGCAACUGCGUCUUACCCACGGUUUCCAAAGACCUCAAUGGAACCCACUCUACAGAAGAAAUCACGACUUAUCGCAGUGCCGGAGACCGACAAGCAUAUAAAUUGGGAGAAGGUGCAGUUACAGUUCAGAAGCAGGACAUAACUUUCUUACGUCAAGUACAUAAGCAUUGAAGUACAUCACAUUAACGACUCAAACGGCCUCGUCUUAGUGCAUAAUGAUGGGUGGAAGCUAGUCUAUUCAGGAGAUACGACUCCGCUUUAUCAUGGUGGCUUCAAUAAAUAUGGGAAAGACUGUGAUAUAUUGAU